UACUCAUUCAGCCACAUCUCCUCGCGGAGAAGUGGCAACGAAUCAUCCUCUUUUCCUCAAGAUCACGCGACCGAGAGAAAAGGGUAUGCAACACAAAUGUGGGGAUCGAUGCUUGAUUUGUGCUUUCGGUAUGACAUACUAGAUUCCGGUAAGGCUUGGAGCAUGAGUCAUCGCUCCGUACUAUUGUUACAGGUACUUAUCUUUUUACUGAACUGCAAGAACGAGACGAGUAGAUGAGCGUCACAUAUCUUUGGAUAGCUACAAUCUUUUGAUAGUGUCACCCAGUGGGAGCCAUAGCGACGGACUCCAACCCAACAGACUUUAAUCCCGGGCAUGUGGACAGCCAGGACAGCCGCCACUAGGACUCCCAGUCCCUUCACGGGCUCUGACCUCAUUUCCUUCUGCAGCAGAGCCCGUAUGUUACACUAUAUCUGUCCUAUGUGGACAGGUUCCAUUUAGAGGGGCAGAGCAGAUCACGACUGUCCCAUCACCCACUUACAUAGUCUUAUAUAAUUCAUACCCACUUUAAAUUAGAGCAGCAGUGUACAGAAAUUACUGCAUUACUGUUGCUAUUGUUCUGUUUACAGUAUUAUGGGUGUGCUAAUGCAGUUGUAGGCUAAAUUCCUUUUAUGACUAUGAACUGUUUUUUUAGUUCAUUUAUGACUAUAUGAACUGUUCUUCUGCAUUAAUUCCAUAUAUGGCUAUGUGAAAUGCUACUUUGGUUCAUUGGAUCAUUUCCUGCAGAUGUGAAAGCAUCUUGUCUCUGCUUAUUUGGUCUUGGUCUGAAACAGAAGUGUGGCUUCAGUGCGUCUGACAGUUUCACUGAUAUUUCUGUAAUGCAAAGUUUUGCAAUUCUGCAAAGCCAGCAUCUUCCCUGGAUAAUAUCUUUCUCAAAAUGGCAUACAUUCCAGAAAAAGAAUUACCAAUGGACCGAGUCCCGCAGUGUAAGGAGCAGGACGCUCAGUCUCCCUCGACGGUAACAGACGUUUAAUGGGAAACACGGAAGACAUGGACAUUCACAUAAAUGGGGAAAGAGAAACACAUGACGUACGUAUACAUGUUCAAUGACUGACAAAACUGCAUGCACCAACAUCAGUUUAAAUAAACACAAAAAAUACACACUAAACCGUCUGCAGGUGUGCGCAGACACCAGAGGCUACAAACACAAACAAUUACACUGAGUUCCCACUGCACACGGCCUCUAAAAACAAAAUUGAGUAAUCAUUUGACCAAGAUAUUGUAGUGGGUCCUUAAACACAGUCAGCACCCAUUAUAAAGGACUGAAUUUUGAAAUAAAAUAUAUUACAGGAACAUUUUUUUCAAAAUAAUUAUUUCUAUAAACACAACCACACACAUGUAUGGCAUUAAUUACUAUAGUCUGGAUACAUAUUUGUAGAAA